rfam:Methanosarcina sp. Ant1 MSANT_contig000012, whole genome shotgun sequence.
CUAUCCCUUCUAUUUGGAUAAUCCUAAGACAUGCAUUGAUGGUAACGUUAAUAUGUGAAGCUCUUAGGACAAUGUGGGAAGUCUCUAGUCCAAACCAGACGAUCUGCCAGGAUAAGAGUGCCAUGACGAAUCAUAGGAUGAACCACUGUAAGAGUCG